GCUCUAAAAGAAUCAUACACCACAUUGACCUCCUGGCCCACCAAAGAGAAAUGCUUGCUGAAACACACUCCCUUGGUCCCCAUUGUACAACAAAUCAUAGCAAUUGGAGUUGGUGUCAACAUUUUUGGUCACGAAUUCAGGUUCAACACUAAUUGAAUUGUAAUUUGAGUCAAAUAAUUCAAGAUUUGACAUGUAAGCUGAGCUACCAAAAUGAGUUUGUGGCAACAUUCCACUACCCAUUGGAGGACUAUUCAUAUUAUUAGGAGGAGUAAAAGUUUCACCACCAAAUCUAACCAAAGAAGCACCUUGGUUCAAAUGAGUUAAUAUUUCCUUUGGCCAAUAUCCAAUGUUUAGAUACCCUGAUUUAUUAUCAUGUGCACUUAACCACCAAUGCCCAGUAUUUUGAUCCUACAUAUAUAUUAAAAAUGAAUAAAUUGUCACCUUAUGUGAAGUAAUAUUAGCAUAUUUAAACAAUCAAACUAAUUAAGGAAAGUAACAAAAAUUGUCACCUUAGUUAUAAUAAAAUUACCUGUUUGACAAGAAAAGGAGAAAAGAAUUGUUGGGAUCGUGAUCCAAUUACAGAUGUUGGCGAGAUGGCUGCUCCAAGGAAAACAUUUGGAUCGACUUGCACAAAACCUGAGCAAUGUGCAUUAUAAUUUAUGCAACCUGUCUUUUGAAAAUUAUCCACCUGAAUAUAUACAUUAAUUAAAUAUAUUUAAUUAGACUAAACCACUCACAUUAACUUAAUUAUUAAUUUCAAAAUGUAAUACAUUAAUAAUUAAUUUUGGUUCCUUACUGUCCAGAAGCCAGUAAUUCUUGUUUGCGUGUCUCCAUAGUAGCCUGGAUCAACCUAUUCCAUUAUCCAACUUAUACGUUAUACUAUAUAUCAAAACCAACAAAAAUAAAUUUAACCAUAUCAAAGGAAAUUAAUAAUAAUAAUAAUAAUAAUAAUAAUAAUAAUAAUAAUAAUAAUAAUAAUAAUAAUAAUAAUAAUAAUAAUAAAGGUGUACGAAAGUAACUAAAGACUCCAAUUUACUUUAGACAAUACUAUAUAUAAUAAGCAGAAUUUCUUUUUCAAACCCCUACAUAUAUUUUGAAACUACACAUUCAAAAAAAUACAUUUUUUUUUUAUUAAUCCUCCUAAAAUCAAAUUCAGACAAAACACAAUUUUUGGACAUGUAGAAGAAUAUAAUUUCGAAACAUAAUUAUAAAAUUUUAGAAACAUAGGAUAAAAGUAGCUCUAAAAGAAUCAUACACCACAUUGACCUCCUGGCCCACCAAAGAGAAAUGCUUGCUGAAACACACUCCCUUGGUCCCCAUUGUACAACAAAUCAUAGCAAUUGGAGUUGGUGUCAACAUUUUUGGUCACGAAUUCAGGUUCAACACUAAUUGAAUUGUAAUUUGAGUCAAAUAAUUCAAGAUUUGACAUGUAAGCUGAGCUACC
rnacentral:lncRNA from 1 species